UACGAAGGGGGCUAGCGUUGCUCGGAAUCACUGGGCGUAAAGGGUGCGUAGGCGGGUCUUUAAGUCAGGGGUGAAAUCCUGGAGCUCAACUCCAGAACUGCCUUUGAUACUGAAGAUCUUGAGUCCGGGAGAGGUGAGUGGAACUGCGAGUGUAGAGGUGAAAUUCGUAGAUAUUCGCAAGAACACCAGUGGCGAAGGCGGCUCACUGGCCCGGUACUGACGCUGAGAUACGAAAGCGUGGGGAGCAAACAGG
rnacentral:rRNA from 1 species